AACGCUAGCUACAGGCUUAACACAUGCAAGUCGAGGGGCAGCACAGUGUAGCAAUACAUGGGUGGCGACCGGCGCACGGGUGCGUAACGCGUAUCCAACCUUCCCGUUACUCAGGGAUAGCCUUCCGAAAGGGAGAUUAAUACCUGAUGGUGUUCAAAUUCCGCAUGUUAUUUGAACUAAAGAUUUAUCGGUAUCGGAUGGGGAUGCGUGACAUUAGAUAGUAGGCGGGGUAACGGCCCACCUAGUCUACGAUGUCUAGGGGUUCUGAGAGGAAGGUCCCCCACACUGGAACUGAGACACGGUCCAGACUCCUACGGGAGGCAGCAGUGAGGAAUAUUGGUCAAUGGUCGGAAGACUGAACCAGCCAAGUAGCGUGAAGGAUGAAGGUUCUAUGGAUUGUAAACUUCUUUUAUACGGGAAUAAAACCACCUACGUGUAGGUGCUUGUAUGUACCGUAUGAAUAAGCAUCGGCUAACUCCGUGCCAGCAGCCGCGGUAAUACGGAGGAUGCGAGCGUUAUCCGGAUUUAUUGGGUUUAAAGGGAGCGUAGACGGGAUGUUAAGUCAGUUGUGAAAGGCUGCGGCUCAACCGCAGCACUGCAGUUGAUACUGGCGUCCUUGAGUGCGGUUGAGGUGUAUGGAAUUCGUGGUGUAGCGGUGAAAUGCUUAGAUAUCACGAAGAACUCCGAUUG
rnacentral:rRNA from 1 species